GAAUUCGCCCUUAGAGUUUGAUCCUGGCUCAGGACGAACGCUGGCGGCGCGCCUAACACAUGCAAGUCGAACGAGCGAGAGAGCUUGCUUUCUCGAGCGAGUGGCGAACGGGUGAGUAACGCGUGAGGAACCUGCCUCAAAGAGGGGGACAACAGUUGGAAACGACUGCUAAUACCGCAUAAGCCCACGGGUCGGCAUCGACCAGAGGGAAAAGGAGCAAUCCGCUUUGAGAUGGCCUCGCGUCCGAUUAGCUAGUUGGUGAGGUAACGGCCCACCAAGGCAACGAUCGGUAGCCGGACUGAGAGGUUGAACGGCCACAUUGGGACUGAGACACGGCCCAGACUCCUACGGGAGGCAGCAGUGGGGAAUAUUGCACAAUGGGGGAAACCCUGAUGCAGCGACGCCGCGUGGAGGAAGAAGGUCUUCGGAUUGUAAACUCCUGUUGUUGAGGAAGAUAAUGACGGUACUCAACAAGGAAGUGACGGCUAACUACGUGCCAGCAGCCGCGGUAAAACGUAGGUCACAAGCGUUGUCCGGAAUUACUGGGUGUAAAGGGAGCGCAGGCGGGAAGACAAGUUGGAAGUGAAAUCCAUGGGCUCAACCCAUGAACUGCUUUCAAAACUGUUUUUCUUGAGUAGUGCAGAGGUAGGCGGAAUUCCCGGCGUAGCGGUGGAAUGCGUAGAUAUCGGGAGGAACACCAGUGGCGAAGGCGGCCUACUGGGCACCAACUGACGCUGAGGCUCGAAAGUGUGGGUAGCAAACAGGAUUAGAUACCCUGGUAGUCCACACCGUAAACGAUGAUUACUAGGUGUUGGAGGAUUGACCCCUUCAGUGCCGCAGUUAACACAAUAAGUAAUCCACCUGGGGAGUACGACCGCAAGGUUGAAACUCAAAGGAAUUGACGGGGGCCCGCACAAGCAGUGGAGUAUGUGGUUUAAUUCGACGCAACGCGAAGAACCUUACCAAGUCUUGACAUCCUGCGACGGUGCUGGAAACAGUGCUUUCCUUCGGGACGCAGAGACAGGUGGUGCAUGGUUGUCGUCAGCUCGUGUCGUGAGAUGUUGGGUUAAGUCCCGCAACGAGCGCAACCCUUAUGGUCAGUUACUACGCAAGAGGACUCUGGCCAGACUGCCGUUGACAAAACGGAGGAAGGUGGGGAUGACGUCAAAUCAUCAUGCCCUUUAUGACUUGGGCUACACACGUACUACAAUGGCGUUAAACAAAGAGAAGCAAGACCGCGAGGUGGAGCAAAACUCAGAAACAACGUCCCAGUUCGGACUGCAGGCUGCAACUCGCCUGCACGAAGUCGGAAUUGCUAGUAAUCGUGGAUCAGCAUGCCACGGUGAAUACGUUCCCGGGCCUUGCACACACCGCCCGUCA
rnacentral:rRNA from 1 species